AUCUUAGGUAUUAUAGUCGUGAACACUUCUCUAACUGUCGUCUUCUGGGUCUUCAUCCUGGGCGACUCCUACAUGAAGUGGCAGACGGAUGUAGAAGACAAACCCAAGAAGAUCGUCACCCCGGCCUGAGGGUUGAAAUGGACUGACUAAAACUGUUUUGUUUUUUGUUUUAGGACUAGUGAGUAAGGGCAGCUAGUAGUGCUUUCUGUUGAGUCUGCUUAUGAUCUUUCUGUUUCACCUACUUGCAAACUAACUAAACUGAAGGGAUCCUGCAACCAAUCAAGAAAGGAGUCCUUCUUACAGAGACGCCUGUGUACACUCACCAAUCCAGAAAUCCUUUCAUUUGCAAGUCAAAGAAAAUAACUGAGGAGCUUUUUCAACUCUUUAUCCCAAGACUGGUUCCUUGGUCCCAAAAUAGUGGAGGAUAAUUCAGAGGAAGGGAGAGCGGAAACAGCAGAAGAGCACCGACUGAGCGCUUGCAGUAAGCUGAUGGGGAAAGACAGGAUGGAGAUGGAAAAAGAGGGCCUUCUGCCAGGUUUCUAUCCGGAAGAUGUGGACUACCACCGUCCAUCUGUCCAGCCUCCAUACCCCGGAGAAAAAAGAAUAUCUGCUCAUAGUGUGACCUUCACCUGCCCCAUGACCUCCUAUGCCACCUCCCUCUGAGUUCAGAUUACUUUUUUUGUUUUAGCAUAUUGAUCUGAUUUCAAUGCAUUGAUCAGAGUUGUCUCUUGCUGUAGUGAUGCUUAAUGCUAAGGUAAUUUCGUUUUAUAAAAAACACAUGUGGCUUAAUAGAACGUAAAGUUUGUACUUAUCUUAAUACGAAACAAAUGCUUACUUUGAUAACUUACAUGUUCCAUAAUGUCUCAUACAUUUUCUACAAACUUUAAAUAUUUUUAUGUGAGCUAAACAAAUACACUAUAUUUCAUU